UACGGAGGGUGCAAGCGUUAUCCGGAUUCAACUGGGUUUAAAGGGUGCGUAGGUGGGCAGGUAAGUCAGUGGUGAAAUCUCCGAGCUUAACUCGGAAACUGGCCGUUGAUACUAUUUGUCUUGAAUAUUGUGGAGGUAAGCGGAAUAUGUCAUGUAGCGGUGAAAUGCUUAGAUAUGACAUAGAACACCAAUUGCGAAGGCAGCUUACUACACAACGAUUGACGCUGAGGCACGAAAGCGUGGGGAUCAAACAGG
rnacentral:rRNA from 1 species